rnacentral:rRNA from 1 species
UGCAGUCGAGGGGUACAGGGAAGCUUGCUUCCGCUGACGACCGGCGCACGGGUGCGUAACGCGUAUGCAACCUACCUCUAACUGGGGAAUAGCCCCGAGAAAUCGGGAUUAAUACCUCAUAACAUUUAUCAUUCGCAUGUUUGAUAAAUUAAAGUUUCGACGGUUAGAGAUGGGCAUGCGUGACAUUAGUUAGUUGGUGAGGUAACGGCUCACCAAGACAGCGAUGUCUAGGGGUUCUGAGAGGAUUUUCCCCCACACUGGUACUGAGACACGGACCAGACUCCUACGGGAGGCAGCAGUAAGGAAUAUUGGUCAAUGGACGAGAGUCUGAACCAGCCAUGCCGCGUGCAGGAUGACGGCCCUACGGGUUGUAAACUGCUUUUGUAUAGGAAGAAACCUCACUACGUGUAGUGGGCUGACGGUACUAUACGAAUAAGCACCGGCUAACUCCGUGCCAGCAGCCGCGGUAUACG